rnacentral:piRNA from 1 species
UAUCUACACAGAGUGUGAAGUAAGGUUUC